rnacentral:misc_RNA from 1 species
UCUCCGUAGGUGAACCUGCGGAGGGAUCAUUACAGAGUUCUCGCCCUUACGGGUAGAUCUCCCACCCACUGUUAUCGUUACUGUCGUUUCUUUGGCGGGCCGCCGGGUUCCCGGCCGCCGGCGCCUAGCUGUCGGCGCGCGCCCGACAGUGGCCUUCAAACUCUGAAUGUUAGUGUCGUCUGUGUACUAUAUAAUAGUUAAAACUUUCAACAACGGAUCUCUUGGUUCUG